rnacentral:rRNA from 1 species
AGGGGUGAAAGGCCAAUCAAACCUGGAGAUAGCUGGUUCUCCCCGAAAGCUAUUUAGGUAGCGCCUCGGACGAAUACUACUGGGGGUAGAGCACUGUUAAGGCUAGGGGGUCAUCCCGACUUACCAACCCUUUGCAAACUCCGAAUACCAGUAAGUACUAUCCGGGAGACACACGGCGGGUGCUAACGUCCGUCGUGGAGAGGGAAACAACCCAGACCGCCAGCUAAGGUCCCAAAUUACUACUAAGUGGGAAACGAUGUGGGAAGGCUCAGACAGCCAGGAUGUUGGCUUAGAAGCAGCCAUCAUUUAAAGAAAGCGUAAUAGCUCACUGGUCGA